rnacentral:rRNA from 1 species
GACGAACGCUGGCGGCGUGCUUAACACAUGCAAGUCGAACGGAAAUGCCCUUCUUUUGUGGGGUGCUCGAGUGGCGAACGGGUGAGUAACACGUGAGUAACCUGCCCUUGACUUUGGGAUAACUUCAGGAAACUGGGGCUAAUACCGGAUAGGAGCUCCUGCUGCAUGGUGGGGGUUGGAAAGUUUCGGCGGUUGGGGAUGGACUCGCGGCUUAUCAGCUUGUUGGUGGGGUAGUGGCUUACCAAGGCUUUGACGGGUAGCCGGCCUGAGAGGGUGACCGGCCACAUUGGGACUGAGAUACGGCCCAGACUCCUACGGGAGGCAGCAGUGGGGAAUAUUGCACAAUGGGCGGAAGCCUGAUGCAGCAACGCCGCGUGCGGGAUGACGGCCUUCGGGUUGUAAACCGCUUUCGCCUGUGACGAAGCGUGAGUGACGGUAAUGGGUAAAGAAGCACCGGCUAACUACGUG